AUCUGUCAAACUCUCAACCCUCAGCAUCUUCCCACUGUGCUAGUUCCUUCUGCCUGGCUUGCUCUCUUCUCUGCUUGGAAAACUCUUAUAAAUCCUUCAAGCCUUACUCAUUCGCUGCCUCUGACCCGAUAACGAAUUUCUCCCUCUCUCAUCCGGGCCCAGGAGCCUCUGUCUGGCUCUCACCAGUAUAGCAACGGGGAGUUUCCUGUCAGUCUCCCCGGCUGCUGUGAGCUCCUUAAGGCAGAAGGCCUGGCACACAGUAGGUGCAGAGUUCGUAGUUGCUGAAGGAUCGAAUGUGAGCAGGAUGCAUUUCCCCAAGGCUAGAGCUGUCAAAUCAAGGGGAAACCCACCAGGCAUACCACCGGCAGAGCUGGAUCAGCCAUGUGAAAAGAGGAAAAGUGAGCAUGGCAGCCAGGACCUGUGCCUUUCUCAAGGUCUGCGUGUGAUGUUCCCAGCAAAGGCCACAGAGGUUGCCCUGCGACCUGUGUCCUGCAGGGUCACCUCUGCUGGGCAGCAGUCAUGUCUUCAGACAACUGGAGAGUAUGUUGGGGGAAGAGUCCUCCUACAGGGUGUGAAGGGCAUGACACUGAGUCAGCGGGGCAAGGAGUCUGAGGAGGUGCUUAGCAACGGAAUUCUAAGUUUUUUCUUGGACCCAGUUGGACCCCAUCAUUGGCUGCUCACCGGAGACUAGGGAGUUCCUUUUCACUCGGUUACCUUCAUGAAGUUGCAUUUCAACAUUAGGCCCUUAACUUGAUAAAGAUCACUAAAGAAAAAUCACGUGAAAUUUACUACUUCAUUUGCUGCUUUAGAAAACCCGAAAUAUUGUUGAAGACCUCAUUCCUUCCGUUGCUCAGUCUCUGUUCUGUGUAAUAAAAUCAUUCCCAUGAAAUUUCCUUCAGAAUUCAGUGCCGGGAAAGGCUUCCACUCCUGGAGGCACACAUACGCUCCCUCUUCUCCAGUUAUGAGAACCCUAUAACUGGUCAUUGUUCCCACUUUUUGGACUGCUAAGAAAUGCAAAGCCAAGUUUGAGGAUCAAUGACAGCAAUUUUGGUAACUCUUGGGGGAAAUAUAUUCAUGUCU
rnacentral:lncRNA from 1 species